UCGCCUAAGCCUCUUACAUUCCAUGACACAACGUGAAAAGAACGACAGUUCGAGUUCGAGUUCAUCUGAAACAGGUACAACACCCAGAGAAGGAAAAGAACCGGAAAGGAACUAGAAAAAUAAAGCGAAGACAGCUAAAGUAGAUGAAAGGUGCACUCUCGCAAAGCGCAGGCCAGCGACCGUUGGCGCGGGAGUGGAAGCCGCUGAAGAACCCUAACCGGGCGAAGCAGAUCAUUCCGUGUUCGCGGUCACCAGGCUACCCGUCCCAGCAGCAGCGCUGGGGGAGUCGAUCUUGGCGGCCGACACCAGCUUGCGCAGCUCGGACGCAUUCAUCGGCAGGCGGUUGCGCGACAGCAUGUUUCGCUUGUUGACAUGAUUCUUGAGAGACGUGGAGCAGGUGGAA
rnacentral:lncRNA from 1 species